UUUUAAAUUUUGUGGUAUUUUGACUAUACAAAGGUUUGAAUAAGAUUUUAAUUGAAUGCUAAGAGAACGGAAGUCCAGAAAAAAACUUUUUUUAAAUUAAAAAUUGAAGUUUUUUUAAUUUGUGCAGAAACAAUUAUUUAUAUUAAAGACAAGAAGACCCUAUGAAUUUAUUAAAUUUUUAUUUAAUAUGUAAUUACUAUUAGAAAAAUUUUGGCUGGGGCGGCUAGAAAAUAUUAUAAACUUUUUAAAAAUAAAAUGAUCCAUUAUUAAUGAUUUUAUGUUAAAUACUCUAGGGAUAACAGCGUUAUAUUUUUUGAUAGAUCAUAUUGACAAAAAAGUUUGCGACCUCGAUGUUGGAUU
rnacentral:rRNA from 1 species